ACGACGCUGGCGGCGUGGAUUAGGCAUGCAAGUCGAACGGUAUCAUCCUUUCGGGGAUGAGAGAGUGGCGAACGGGUGAGUAACACGUAGGUGAUCUACCCUCAAGACGGGGACAACCCAGGGAAACUUGGGCUAAUACCGGAUGUGAGCUAUCGCGAGAUAGUUUGAAAGGUGGCUUCGGCUGCCGCUUGGGGAUGAGCCUGCGUCCUAUUAGCUAGUUGGUGAGGUAACGGCCCACCAAGGCGAUGAUAGAUAGGCGGCCUUAACGGGUGGUCGCCCACACUGGGAUUGAGAUACGGCCCAGACUCCUACGGGAGGCAGCAGUCGAGAAUAGUCUACAAUGGCCGAAAGGCUGAUAGUGCGACGCCGCGUGAACGAAGAAGCCCUUCGGGGUGUAAAGUUCUUUUAUAUGUGAGCAGUGCUUUCUAUGUGAACAGCAUGGGGAGAGAGAUAUUAGCAUAUGAAUAAGCAACGGCUAACUCCGUG
rnacentral:rRNA from 1 species